UCCAGAGCCAGCUAUUUAUUAUCUCAUUUCAGUUUCCUGUCGACUCAGUAGGUGGUACAGCUUUUGAUUCAUAUUUGGAUUGCUGCCUUUCCAUUUUUUCGGGGAGUUUUUUUCUGUAUUUUUUCUUCCUUUUUUCUUUUCCUUUUUUCCCCCACCCCCUUUUGAAAGCAGCUAAAGUUACUGGCACCAGCAAACUCUGCCUGUAACUAAGAUUGCUUGUGAAUGAACUUGUAUCUGCUGUUGUGACAUCAGAACAUCACUUGCAGCAGCAGCAGCAGCAGCAGCAGAGCAAAGGGCCUUGUGAGGUGGUGGUUGCCAGGCUUCAAAUAAGAUAUCAGACUUCAGACUUUGCCACAGAGGAGUGUUUAAAGGCCCUGUGCUACAGGAAGCCUAAUUUCCAUCUCUGUCCCGAAAAUCUGAAAGGAUUGCUGUUGUUCCUACAUAGUAGUGCUCUAAUAGAAAUGAUGAUCAACCUUCCAGAAUUCAUUUUAAAACUGAGGAAGUUAUGGGCACAGAAAUUUGCUAAUGCCAUGCCAGGGAUUCCCUUUGUCAUUGCAACCCACCAUUGUGAGCCAGGCUCCAAAGAUGCCAGCAUAUGGCCAUGAAACACCAUCACUGAAUUACUGUCUCUUUUCAUGUGGUCCAGUCCUGGUGCAGAGAAGAAAGUAAGAGUCAAGUCUGAAUUAAACACUCCCAGCUUUCAUGUUUGUGGUUUUGAUUUAUUUAUUGAUAUCUAUGUAGGGGCCUCCAUUCAAUCACAGGAGUUAAUGUCAUCCUGCUACAUAGCUGGAGAUGAAAAACUCAGCUAUCUGCCAGGUACAACCUCCUUUCACACU